GUGUCCAGGAUAGCCCCUCGCUUCGCCCUCGCCAGCGCCCUUCCGCCAGCCUCGCCGAGGUUCGCCGCCGCCAUGCCCGCCCCCGCGUCCGAGGCCGGCAGCCUCAUCAUGACCUACCUGAUCCUCAUCUUCCUGCUCGUCGCCCUCUGGGUCCUCUACGCGGGCCUGCUCUGAACGCGACGUGGCGCCAAGGCCAAGGUACCGAAGAUGCCAGCAAUCAGCUCUGGGGAAGGGCAAGGGCCCACUCAAGCCGACGCCUACACUGCCGAGGACACUCCCACGGGUCCGCACAUCCACAUCCCGAACCUACCUCAAAGGGGAUGCCAGCGAGAUCUCCCGACAAACUACUUAAUUUAUGAACUUGGAAGCAUUUCAAAGGAGUAAUUGUAAUGGGCUGCUCCUGUGAAGAAGCUGGAGUGAAAAUGUCUCUGAUGAAAUCAGGGAAGUGUGUACUGCUUUAAUAUAUUUUGUAAAGAAAAUUAGUAAAUAAAUGAUUUUAAGCAAUGCCAAGAUCCUUG